rnacentral:rRNA from 1 species
GCCAGCAGCUAUAUCACCCUGAAACUCACUACUGGCAACCAACUGAAGCUAAGGAGGUGUGUGCCUGGUCAGUACCUGGAUGGGAGACCUCUUGGAAAAGCCUGUGUUGCUGCUGGAA